rnacentral:rRNA from 1 species
GACGAACGCUGGCGGCGUGCCUAAUACAUGCAAGUAGAACGCUGAAGGAGGAGCUUGCUUCUCUGGAUGAGUUGCGAACGGGUGAGUAACGCGUAGGUAACCUGCCUGGUAGCGGGGGAUAACUAUUGGAAACGAUAGCUAAUACCGCAUAAUAGUAGAUGUUGCAUGACAUUUGCUUAAAAGGUGCAAUUGCAUCACUACCAGAUGGACCUGCGUUGUAUUAGCUAGUUGGUGAGGUAACGGCUCACCAAGGCGACGAUACAUAGCCGACCUGAGAGGGUGAUCGGCCACCCUGGGACUGGGACACGGCCCAGACUCCUACGGGAGGCAGCAGUAGGGAAUCUUCGGCAAUGGACGGAAGUCUGACCGAGCAACGCCGCGGGAGUGAAGAAGGGUUUCGGAUCGUAAAGCUCUGUUGUAAGAGAAGAACGAGUGUGAGAGUGGAAAGUUCACACUGUGACGGUAUCUUACCAGAAAGGGACGGCUAACUACGUG